rnacentral:lncRNA from 1 species
GUGUUGGCAAGGAGGAUACUUCCCCUUUGAGGAUCCAUUCUUGCUCUUGUUGUCAAUUGUGGCAUUCGAACCAGAACUGCCUUCUUGGUUUUUCUUCUUCUUCUUUUUGUUCUUAUCAGCUUCAUAAUGUUUGGCUCGUAAGGCUCCUUCAACAUCAUCUUCCUCCCUCAUGGCUCUCCUUUGCUCUUGUGCUUGAAGUGCACUAAUCAACUCCUUGAGACUGAGCU